rnacentral:rRNA from 1 species
AUUGAACGCUGGUGGAAGGCUUAACACAUGCAAGUCGAGCGGGGUGAUGGUGCUUGCACUAUCACCUAGCGGCGGACGGGUGAGUAAUGCUUAGGAAUCUGCCUAUUAGUGGGGGACAACAUCUCGAAAGGGAUGCUAAUACCGCAUACGUCCUACGGGAGAAAGCAGGGGAUCACUUGUGACCUUGCGCUAAUAGAUGAGCCUAAGUCGGAUUAGCUAGUUGGUGGGGUAAAGGCCUACCAAGGCGACGAUCUGUAGCGGGUCUGAGGGGAUGAUCCGCCACACUGGGACUGAGACACGGCCCAGACUCCUACGGGAGGCAGCAGUGGGGAAUAUUGGACAAUGGGGGGAACCCUGAUCCAGCCAUGCCGCGUGUGUGAAGAAGGCCUUAUGGUUGUAAAGCACUUUAAGCGAGGAGGAGGCUCUUUUGGUUAAUACCCAAGAUGAGUGGACGUUACUCGCAGAAUAAGCACCGGCUAACUCUGUGCCAGCCGCCGCUGUAA